rnacentral:rRNA from 1 species
AGCUUGCUCCCUUAGGUCAGCGGCGGACGGGUGAGUAACACGUGGGUAACCUGCCUGUAAGACUGGGAUAACUCCGGGAAACCGGGGCUAAUACCGGAUGCUUGAUUGAACCGCAUGGUUCAAUCAUAAAAGGUGGCUUUUAGCUACCACUUACAGAUGGACCCGCGGCGCAUUAGCUAGUUGGUGAGGUAACGGCUCACCAAGGCGACGAUGCGUAGCCAACCUGAGAGGGUGAUCGGCCACACUGGGACUGAGACACGGCCCAGACUCCUACGGGAGGCAGCAGUAGGGAAUCUUCCGCAAUGGACGAAAGUCUGACGGAGCAACGCCGCGUGAGUGAUGAAGGUUUUCGGAUCGUAAAACUCUGUUGUUAGGGAAGAACAAGUACCGUUCGAAUAGGGCGGCACCUUGACGGUACCUAACCAGAAAGCCACGGCUAACUACGUGCCAGCAGCCGCGGUAAUACGUAGGUCCGAAGCGUUGUCCGGAAUUAUUGGGCGUAAAGCGCGCGCAGGCGGUUUCAUAAGUCUGAUGUGAAAGCCCCCGGCUCAACCGGGGAGGGUCAUUGGAAACUGGGGAACUUGAGUGCAGAAGAGGAGAGUGGAAUUCCACGUGUAGCGGUGAAAUGCGUAGAGAUGUGGAGGAACACCAGUGGCGAAGGCGACUCUCUGGUCUGUAACUGACGCUGAGGCGCGAAAGCGUGGGGAGCGAACAGGAUUAGAUACCCUGGUAGUCCACGCCGUAAACGAUGAGUGCUAAGUGUUAGAGGGUUUCCGCCCUUUAGUGCUGCAGCAAACGCAUUAAGCACUCCGCCUGGGGAGUACGGUCGCAAGACUGAAACUCAAAGGAAUUGACGGGGGCCCGCACAAGCGGUGGAGCAUGUGGUUUAAUUCGAAGCAACGCGAAGAACCUUACCAGGUCUUGACAUCCUCUGACAACCCUAGAGAUAGGGCUUCCCCAUCGGGGGCAGAGUGCCAGGUGGUGCAUGGUUGUCGUCAGCUCGUGUCGUGAGAUGUUGGGUUAAGUCCCGCAACGAGCGCAACCCUUGAUCUUAGUUGCCAGCAUUCAGUUGGGCACUCUAAGGUGACUGCCGGUGACAAACCGGAGGAAGGUGGGGAUGACGUCUUAUCAUCAUGCCCCUUAUGACCUGGGCUACACACGUGCUACAAUGGGCAGAACAAAGGGCAGCGAAGCCGCGAGGCUAAGCCAAUCCCACAAAUCUGUUCUCAGUUCGGAUCGCAGUCUGCAACUCGACUGCGUGAAGCUGGAAUCGCUAGUAAUCGCGGAUCAGCAUGCCGCGGUGAAUACGUUCGCGGGCCUUGUACACACCGCCCGUCACACCACGAGAGUUUGUAACACCCG